AGGGGACAAGGUUGGGGAUUGGAGGGGAGGUUUUCAAAGUUGGUGUAGGGGAGAGGACUGGCAGGGCACAGUCCCCUUGGGGCAGGCAAAGGGAGCAGGUUACUCUUCAGCACAAUGUCAGUGUGUACAGGGCAGGGCAGCUCCAACCUGUGUCUGGCGUGUACUUCGUGUCGUCUGUUUUCUGUGUCUCAGACUGUAUGUUCCUUGGGUCUUGGUGCCUCCAUAGCUCGGUGACCAGCAGGCACCUCGGUAGCCCUCCCAAGAGUCCAGAAUGCAUCACUUCACUGGCACAGAGCCUAUUGAGCCCUUCUCAUCUCACAAUUACAGCUUGAUGCGUGGAUCUCUUUGGCAUGUGUCACAUCCUGGCUGUUUCUGAGCGUUCAUCUCUUGCGGUGGCCAGCCAGGUGCUGCCCGCAGCUCUGCUCUUGAGUCUUCUGUUUCCACAGAGUCAUUUUCUGGGGUUUCAUCCCCAUGUCCUCACUGGUCUUGGGUCUUCAAGCAUGGCUUCUCACACAUCCCUUAUUCUGGCUUUGAUGGCAGCUUUCUCUUGUGUGUGGCUGCAAUCUCCUCUCCUUGGCAGGUCUGCUUUAGAGCAUCUGUGCCAUCGUGGCACCGUAGGGCUUCUCUGCCAGCAUCAUCUUCCCUAUGGGAAUCUUUUACUGAGCAAGGACAAGAGACUUACAGAAAGUUACAAAGGUCUUGUGAAACAAAGAUCCUGAUCUUGUUGAAACAAGAAGAUGGGGAAGCAUGUGCUUUUCUUAAAAUGUGGCAGAAUUGCCGAAGUUGCUGUAGCUGAGCGACCUCUGCUCGUGACAAAAUCAACAAUAUGGAAACCAGACCUUCAGCAUUUAGGCUGCCCACCUCCAACUGAAGACCUACGCACUGUGUGUGCUGUACCUUGAAAUCAGAGUGAGAAAUUCACUAACCAAUCAGAGUAGAGUAACCGUGAAUAUGUAUUUGGUGGAGGAAGCUAAUCAAAAGUGUGUGAAUGUGUAGAGUUUUGUGACUUCAGGGGGCAGCUUUGUGUCUUACUGCCUCUCGCCCUGUGUUUGCCUAAAUGAAUGAAAUAAAUGAAAAUACCUUGGCUCUGUAUGUAUUUUGGCAUCUCGCAUAGUAGGUGAAUGACCCUGCUUUUGGUAUAACAAGGUAUAACGCUCAAGGUGUCCAUGUGUAGUCCUGGUCUGUGUGUGAGGGCUGGAGCUGCCCUGCCCAGGGGUGCAGCAGUACUGAUGACAGGGUAGCGUAGCUUUAUGGGGCUGUGGAAGUAAGUUGGUUUGGACCAAUUCUGUUGGCAGAGACCAUACGGUCCAUCUCUGGGCAAACAGGUGUAGGCAGCUGCCACAGUUGUGUUCGCUUUUCUUUACAGUCCGGGGCUAGGAUUGGAUCCAGCCGCACCUAGACUCCUCUGAGAAGGAGUUUAGAAAGCAAGGGGGUCCAGUCUGAACCUCGUGACUGGUUGGGAGCAGCAGUUAGUGUGGAAGGGGAGCGGGUCAGAUCUGGAAGGUGCCUUAGCUUGCACAGAUGGGGCUCCCUAGCUGGCUUUUCUUCUUCUAGCUGUAGUGAGAAGGUAUAUGCAAAAGGCAGAGAGACCUCUGGCCUCACCAAGCUACCUGUGGUUGUGCAGGUGACUUGCUUUACAGGGUGUGUUUGUGUUGUUUCAGAUGCAGAGCAACAAGCAGCAAGGCCAAGGGCACGGAAGAGGGGAGCAGAGUGCCGGCUGAAGAAGGACAGGCAUCCAGCUCCGGAGUAUCGGCAGGACAGCUGGUGGUUCUGACAAGCUUGAGCUUCUCUGGCUGGAUUUUCUGGGUGCAAAUCCAAGUGUGAAGCGAGAUGUUAUCAGCAGAGCGGCCUCUGGCAAGAUGGAGACAUACAAGUAGCGGUGACCAGAUCUGUGCUGGAAAAUGGACUUGAUGGAAAGUACCAAACUUCUCUUUUGUUGCAAUCCGUAAUGAUUUUUUUGGCCUCAAAUGUUUUUUGUGCUGCUUCUCAAACACACUUUCCCAGCCUUUUUUUAAAUGUAAGCAGACAUUGAAAGAAAAACCAGCACUCAGAAUAUUGAUGGAGAAAGAAUUGUGCACAAUUUCAGAACUUCACAGACUUGUUUAUAAGACUUACUUAUUUGAAAAAGUGACACACUUGUUGCUAAUCAAUUAAUAACGCAUUAUUUUUCACUUCAUAAUGGAGUCACAAGCUGCUGUUGUCAGACCCUGAUCUCUGGGAGGCUCUUUGUAGAAAAUCAUGCAUAGGAAUAGGAUCAUCCUCUAGGAAAGCUGGAAACACUGUGGUUCAUAAGUUGGAUUUUUUUGUGGAGUAAAACCUGGCCGUGUUGGGCAAGCCUCCUGGAAAUACCCCUGAUUUCCUAGGAACUUGCUGGAGGAAUCCCAAGGCAGACUGACCAUGACACCUGAAGCAGAUACCAGCCACCGGUGUGUUCAGAUGCUGAACAAAUAUUUCUCAUACUCCCUUUCAAUUGUUGGAAACCUGCCAGAGUUAAAUCCCAUCUUUCAUUUCUGGAGCUUUGCUGUUUUCCUUAUUUUUCUGCCUAAGGUGCAUGAUCUGAGGUGUUAAUUUGAACUUGGACUGGAAGAUGCAGUUAAAAUACUCAUCUUUAUGCAGAAAGCAACCAGGGAAGACAUUCUCAAGUCAUUGCCUGACUUGGUUUGUUUCUCCAUGCAGAAAAACUCAUAGGUAUGUAAAGCAAAAAGCUCUGGUCUUAAG